rnacentral:rRNA from 1 species
GAUGAACGCUGGCGGCGUGCCUAAUACAUGCAAGUCGAGCGAACAGACGAGGAGCUUGCUCCUCUGCCGUUAGCGGCGGACGGGUGAGUAACACGUGGAUAACCUACCUAUAAGACUGGGAUAACUUCGGGAAACCGGAGCUAAUACCGGAUAAUAUAUUGAACCGCAUGGUUCAAUAGUGAAAGACGGUUUUGCUGUCACUUAUAGAUGGAUCCGCGCCGCAUUAGCUAGUUGGUAAGGUAACGGCUUACCAAGGCAACGAUGCGUAGCCGACCUGAGAGGGUGAUCUGCCACACUAGAACUGAGCCACGGUCCAGACUCCUACGGGAGGCAGCAGUAGGGAAUCUUCCGCAAUGGGCGAAAGCCUGACGGAGCAACGCCGCGUGAGUGAUGAAGUUCUUCGGAUCGUAAAACUCUGUUAUUAGGGAAGAACAAAUGUGUAAGUAACUAUGCACGUCUUGACGGUACCUAAUCAGAAAGCCACGGCUAACUACGUG